rnacentral:rRNA from 1 species
UACAGAGGGGGCAAGCGUUAUUCCGAAUUAUUGGGCGUAAAGGGCGCGUAGGCGGCUUGGCAAGUGGAUGGUGAAAUCCCUCGGCUUAACCGAGGAACUGCCGUCCAAACUGCUUAGCUUGAGACCGGGAGAGGUGAGUGGAAUUCCCAGUGUAGCGGUGAAAUGCGUAGAUAUUGGGAGGAACACCAGUGGCGAAGGCGGCUCACUGGACCGGUACUGACGCUGAGGCGCGAAAGCGUGGGGAGCAAACGGG